rnacentral:rRNA from 1 species
UACGGAGGGUGCGAGCGUUUAAUCGGAAUUACUGGGCGUAAAGAGUGCGUAGGUGGUUAAUUAAGUUAUCUGUGAAAUCCCUGGGCUCAACCUGGGCAGGUCAGAUAAUACUGGUUAACUCGAGUAUGGGAGAGGGUAGUGGAAUUUCCGGUGUAGCGGUGAAAUGCGUAGAGAUCGGAAGGAACACCAGUGGCGAAGGCGGCUACCUGGCCUAAUACUGACACUGAGGCACGAAAGCGUGGGGAGCAAACAGG